ensembl:lncRNA
AAACUGUGAUGGUGUUGGAUUGUCAGACCGUAAUGUUGCAGCUCAAAGCAGCUUUUCUAGCUCAGUUCAUUCUGACAUUCAGCUAUGAAUCAACACAGCAGAUGGUGAUCCAUGCUGUGGAAGUCUCACAUCUCCUGAUUUAAUGGAGCUGCUUUGCACUUUUUACACUGUUUAUUCACCAACACUUUAUUUAAUAAAAGUCUCAUCUAGUUUUUAUGAGGAAUGUGAUGUUUUAAUUUCUCUGUGAAUAACUGCAGUCUAAUGCAACAGCUGGAGUUGUAACAUCUGUCCUGAUAUUGAUCAUGAAGUAUUGAUCAGAAUACUUAUGGUUAGCAGUCAUCCCUGAAGUUUUACAUUAAAAUCUUUACUUGUGUUGUGAACUUUGGUAAGAAGCAGAAACGUUAGCGUUACCAUGGAUACAUGAGUGUUAAUUUCUGUCCAUGUUUCCAUUUUGGGAAAUGCAGUCCAGCAGAUGAGUUUGUUUUUACUGACAACUACCAUUCAGUCUGAGAUAUUAAGAAUAAAUAAAGGUGCAUAAUGUGGAAAUGAACAGAUUUUAUUUUUAUUUAUUCCUACAGCAGCUGCGGGGAAAGUUCUAGAAUGUGGAGGAAUUUAGUCUCAUAGUCACAGACAAUAAAUAUUAUCUGAAAGUCGGGUUAUUGUUGUUCAUCAGCACAUGUUAGACAUAUUCCAGUUAAGACUCUAGAAUAUCAGAAUUUAUGUAAAUUUACCUCAAUAAUAUGAAUGUUCAGGUUAAGAUUGUACAGUGAUGUUUAUUAUUUAAGUUUAGCUGAUUAAAGUUUGACUCUGCACUACAAUAUUAUUUUUUAUUGAAAUUGACAUCAUUAUUAUAAUAUUUAGGGUCAGACCCUACAGUAUUGAGAUUAAGAAAUCAAAUAUUCUAUAAAAUGGAAAUACACUGAACUCAUUUGGGUAUAUUUAAGUGAGACUCUACAAUAUUAUUUGACACAAAUCUAUCUAAAGCCAAAUUUUAAUCAUUUUUACUCCAAACAUUUACUGAACUGAUUUAAACAUUAAAAUCACUCCUUUCUAUUCCUCUGCUGUACGUUCAAACCUGAGGCCUUAAAUAGAAACACAAGUAUCUGUUUGAAGGAACUUCUGCAGAGUCCUGGUUCCAGAACAUGAUGAUAGAAUUAUUGACAAACUUUAACAAAAGCUGCCUGAGAGUUUACAGGUUUUUAUGUUGGAUUUCUUCAGUAAUUUAAUGAGAGUUAUCAGCAAUAAUCAAGUGUUCAUUUGAUGAACUUCAUUUCCUAAAACAUACAGAAUUGAAGCUCAUAUCUUUGGCAGCUGUAAAGUUUCUGCUCCUUCAAAGUUCACAACACAAUGAAUGAAUUCCUAAAACACUCUCAAUGCUGGAGAGCGUUUGUGAUGCUGAAGCAGUGACCAGUUUUUCUGUUUCUUCUCUGGAGAUGCACAAUGAGGGACGUCUGCAGAGACUGAGAAAGAGUCUCACCACAUCCUGACAUGAGGAAAAAGACUUUAUUGAAGACUACAAUGAGAAAAACUAUCAGACAGCAGAUGGCUGCAUUCAAGUCUGUAGCUGCUGAAUUCAUGGAUGAAUCAUCUGGCACUAGAGAAGAAGACCAUCAAACAUCCAUGUCAGCUGAUGGAGGUCCAAGAGUCUCACCAAACAAACAACCUACAGAGUGAAGACCUCAAAUCUGAUUGGAUGGCCUCCUAUUCAGCCACGUGUGAACAAAUGCCUCUAAGCUGAUUUGUUUUCUAAAAUAAAUCUAGUUUGAGUCCUAA